CGUAACAAGGUCUCCGUAGGUGAACCUGCAGAGGGAUCAUUACACAAAUAUGAAGGCGGGCUGGAACCUCUCGGGGUUACAGCCUUGCUGAAUUAUUCACCCUUGUCUUUUGCGUACUUCUUGUUUCCUUGGUGGGUUCGCCCACCACUAGGACAAACAUAAACCUUUUGUAAUUGCAAUCAGCGUCAGUAACAAAUUAAUAAUUACAACUUUCAACAACGGAUCACUUGGUUCUGGCAUCGAUGAAGAACGCAGCGAAAUGCGAUAAGUAGUGUGAAUUGCAGAAUUCAGUGAAUCAUCGAAUCUUUGAACGCACAUUGCGCCCUUUGGUAUUCCAAAGGGCAUGCCUGUUCGAGCGUCAUUUGUACCCUCAAGCUUUGCUUGGUGUUGGGCGUCUUGUCUCUAGCUUUGCUGGAGACUCACCUUAAAGUAAUUGGCAGCCGGCCUACUGGUUUCGGAGCGCAGCACAAGUCGCACUCUCUAUCAGCAAAGGUCUAGCAUCCAUUAAGCCUUUUUUUCAACUUUUGACCUCGGAUCAGGUAGGGAUACCCGCUGAACUUAAGCAUAUCA
rnacentral:rRNA from 1 species